rnacentral:rRNA from 1 species
GAUGAACGCUAGCGGCAGGCUUAACACAUGCAAGUCGAGGGGCAGCACGGACUUCGGUCUGGUGGCGACCGGCAAACGGGUGCGGAACACGUACACAAUCUACCUUUAUCUGGGGUAUAGCCCGAAGAAAUUCGGAUUAAUCCCCCAUAAUAUAUUAGAGUGGCAUCACUUCGAUAUUAAAACUCCGGUGGAUAAAGAUGAGUGUGCGUCCCAUUAGCUAGUUGGUAGGGUAACGGCCUACCAAGGCAACGAUGGGUAGCUGGUGUGAGAGCACGACCAGCCACACGGGACGUGAGACACGGGCCGGACUCCUACGGGAGGCAGCAGUGAGGAAUAUUGGUCAAUGGACGCAAGUCUGAACCAGCCAUGCCGCGUGAAGGAUGAAGGCCUUCUGGAUUGUAAACUUCUUUUAUUGGGGAAGAAAAUUACGGUUUCUACUGUAACCGACGGUACCCAAGGAAUAAGCACCGGCUAACUCCGUGCCAGCCGCCGCCGUAA